UUAAGCGACUAAGCGUACACGGUGGAUGCCCUGGCAGUCAGAGGCGAUGAAGGACGUGCUAAUCUGCGAUAAGCGUCGGUAAGGUGAUAUGAACCGUUAUAACCGGCGAUUUCCGAAUGGGGAAACCCAGUGUGAUUCGUCACACUAUCAUUAACUGAAUCCAUAGGUUAAUGAGGCGAACCGGGGGAACUGAAACAUCUAAGUACCCCGAGGAAAAGAAAUCAACCGAGAUUCCCCCAGUAGCGGCGAGCGAACGGGGAGGAGCCCAGAGCCUGAAUCAGUGUGUGUGUUAGUGGAAGCGUCUGGAAAGGCGCGCGAUACAGGGUGACAGCCCCGUACACAAAAAUGCACAUGCUGUGAGCUCGAUGAGUAGGGCGGGACACGUGGUAUCCUGUCUGAAUAUGGGGGGACCAUCCUCCAAGGCUAAAUACUCCUGACUGACCGAUAGUGAACCAGUACCGUGAGGGAAAGGCGAAAAGAACCCCGGCGAGGGGAGUGAAAAAGAACCUGAAACCGUGUACGUACAAGCAGUGGGAGCCUCUUUAUGGGGUGACUGCGUACCUUUUGUAUAAUGGGUCAGCGACUUAUAUUCUGUAGCAAGGUUAACCGAAUAGGGGAGCCGAAGGGAAACCGAGUCUUAACUGGGCGUUAAGUUGCAGGGUAUAGACCCGAAACCCGGUGAUCUAGCCAUGGGCAGGUUGAAGGUUGGGUAACACUAACUGGAGGACCGAACCGACUAAUGUUGAAAAAUUAGCGGAUGACUUGUGGCUGGGGGUGAAAGGCCAAUCAAACCGGGAGAUAGCUGGUUCUCCCCGAAAGCUAUUUAGGUAGCGCCUCGUGAACUCAUCUCCGGGGGUAGAGCACUGUUUCGGCAAGGGGGUCAUCCCGACUUACCAACCCGAUGCAAACUGCGAAUACCGGAGAAUGUUAUCACGGGAGACACACGGCGGGUGCUAACGUCCGUCGUGAAGAGGGAAACAACCCAGACCGCCAGCUAAGGUCCCAAAGUCAUGGUUAAGUGGGAAACGAUGUGGGAAGGCCCAGACAGCCAGGAUGUUGGCUUAGAAGCAGCCAUCAUUUAAAGAAAGCGUAAUAGCUCACUGGUCGAGUCGGCCUGCGCGGAAGAUGUAACGGGGCUAAACCAUGCACCGAAGCUGCGGCAGCGACGCUUAUGCGUUGUUGGGUAGGGGAGCGUUCUGUAAGCCUGCGAAGGUGUGCUGUGAGGCAUGCUGGAGGUAUCAGAAGUGCGAAUGCUGACAUAAGUAACGAUAAAGCGGGUGAAAAGCCCGCUCGCCGGAAGACCAAGGGUUCCUGUCCAACGUUAAUCGGGGCAGGGUGAGUCGACCCCUAAGGCGAGGCCGAAAGGCGUAGUCGAUGGGAAACAGGUUAAUAUUCCUGUACUUGGUGUUACUGCGAAGGGGGGACGGAGAAGGCUAUGUUGGCCGGGCGACGGUUGUCCCGGUUUAAGCGUGUAGGCUGGUUUUCCAGGCAAAUCCGGAAAAUCAAGGCUGAGGCGUGAUGACGAGGCACUACGGUGCUGAAGCAACAAAUGCCCUGCUUCCAGGAAAAGCCUCUAAGCAUCAGGUAACAUCAAAUCGUACCCCAAACCGACACAGGUGGUCAGGUAGAGAAUACCAAGGCGCUUGAGAGAACUCGGGUGAAGGAACUAGGCAAAAUGGUGCCGUAACUUCGGGAGAAGGCACGCUGAUACGUAGGUGAAGUCCCUUGCGGAUGGAGCUGAAAUCAGUCGAAGAUACCAGCUGGCUGCAACUGUUUAUUAAAAACACAGCACUGUGCAAACACGAAAGUGGACGUAUACGGUGUGACGCCUGCCCGGUGCCGGAAGGUUAAUUGAUGGGGUUAGCGGUAACGCGAAGCUCUUGAUCGAAGCCCCGGUAAACGGCGGCCGUAACUAUAACGGUCCUAAGGUAGCGAAAUUCCUUGUCGGGUAAGUUCCGACCUGCACGAAUGGCGUAAUGAUGGCCAGGCUGUCUCCACCCGAGACUCAGUGAAAUUGAACUCGCUGUGAAGAUGCAGUGUACCCGCGGCAAGACGGAAAGACCCCGUGAACCUUUACUAUAGCUUGACACUGAACAUUGAGCCUUGAUGUGUAGGAUAGGUGGGAGGCUUUGAAGUGUGGACGCCAGUCUGCAUGGAGCCGACCUUGAAAUACCACCCUUUAAUGUUUGAUGUUCUAACGUUGGCCCCUGAUCGGGGUUGCGGACAGUGUCUGGUGGGUAGUUUGACUGGGGCGGUCUCCUCCUAAAGAGUAACGGAGGAGCACGAAGGUUGGCUAAUCCUGGUCGGACAUCAGGAGGUUAGUGCAAUGGCAUAAGCCAGCUUGACUGCGAGCGUGACGGCGCGAGCAGGUGCGAAAGCAGGUCAUAGUGAUCCGGUGGUUCUGAAUGGAAGGGCCAUCGCUCAACGGAUAAAAGGUACUCCGGGGAUAACAGGCUGAUACCGCCCAAGAGUUCAUAUCGACGGCGGUGUUUGGCACCUCGAUGUCGGCUCAUCACAUCCUGGGGCUGAAGUAGGUCCCAAGGGUAUGGCUGUUCGCCAUUUAAAGUGGUACGCGAGCUGGGUUUAGAACGUCGUGAGACAGUUCGGUCCCUAUCUGCCGUGGGCGCUGGAGAACUGAGGGGGGCUGCUCCUAGUACGAGAGGACCGGAGUGGACGCAUCACUGGUGUUCGGGUUGUCAUGCCAAUGGCACUGCCCGGUAGCUAAAUGCGGAAGAGAUAAGUGCUGAAAGCAUCUAAGCACGAAACUUGCCCCGAGAUGAGUUCUCCCUGACUCCUUGAGAGUCCUGAAGGAACGUUGAAGACGACGACGUUGAUAGGCCGGGUGUGUAAGCGCAGCGAUGCGUUGAGCUAACCGGUACUAAUGAACCGUGAGGCUUAACCUU
rnacentral:rRNA from 1 species